rnacentral:rRNA from 1 species
ACUGCUCAGUAACACGUAUAGGAAUUGGCGGGGGAGCACAUACUGCUCAGUAACACGUAUAGGAAUUGGCGGGGGAGCACAUACGGCUCAGUAACACGUAAAGGAAUUGGCGGGGGAGCACAUACGGCUCAGUAACACGUAGUCAACAUGCCCAGGGGACGUGGAUAACCUCGGGAAACUGAGGAUAAACCGCGAUAAGUCACUACUUCUGGAAUGGGUAAUGACUAAAAUCUACAUGGCCCCUGGAUUGGACUGCGGCCGAUCAGGCUGUUGGUGAGGUAAUGGCCCACCAAACCUGUAACCGGUACGGGCUCUGAGAGGAGGAGCCCGGAGAUGGGCACUGAGACAAGGGCCCAGGCCCUAUGGGGCGCAGCAGGCGCGAAACCUCUGCAAUAGGCGAAAGCCUGACAGGGUUACUCUGAGUGAUUUCCGUUAAGGAGAUCUUUUGGCACCUCUAAAAAUGGUGCAGAAUAAGGGGUGGGCAAGUCUGGUGUCAGCCGCCGCGGUAAUACCAGCACCCCGAGUGGUCGGGACGUUUAUUGGGCCUAAAGCAUCCGUAGCCGGUUCUACAAGUCUUCUGUUAAAUCCACCUGCUUAACAGAUGGGCUGCGGAAGAUACUAUAGAGCUAGGAGGCGGGAGAGGCAAGCGGUACUCGAUGGGUAGGGGUAAAAUCCGUUGAUCCAUUGAAGACCACCAGUGGCGAAGGCGGCUUGCCAGAACGCGCUCGACGGUGAGGGAUGAAAGCUGGGGGAGCAAACCGGAUUAGAUACCCGGGUAGUCCCAGCUGUAAACGAUGCAGACUCGGUGAUGAGUUGGCUUCUUGCCAACUCAGUGCCGCAGGGAAGCCGUUAAGUUUGCCGCCUGGGGAGUACGGUCGCAAGACUGAAACUUAAAGGAAUUGGCGGGGAGCAC